CCUACGGGAGGCAGCAGUAAGGAAUAUUGGUCAAUGGAGGCAACUCUGAACCAGCCAUGCCGCGUGCAGGAUGAAGGCCCUAUGGGUCGUAAACUGCUUUUACACAAGAGAAAACCCCGGUACGUGUACCGGGUUGAUAGUAUUGUGAGAAUAAGCAUCGGCUAACUUCGUGCCAGCAGCCGCGGUAAGACGAAGGAUGCAAGCGUUAUCCGGAUUCAUUGGGUUUAAAGGGUGCGUAGGCGGACUUGUAAGUCAGUGGUGAAAUCUCUUUGCUUAACAAGAAACUGCCAUUGAUACUGCAGGUCUAGAGUAUAGAUGACGUUGGCGGAAUAUGACAUGUAGUGGUGAAAUACUUAGAUAUGUCAUAGAACACCGAUUGCGAAGGCAGCUAACGAAACUAUAACUGACGCUGGGGCACGAAAGUGCGGGGAUCAAACAGGAUUAGAUACCCUGGUAGUCCGCACCGUAAACGANANAUACUCGUGUCGCAUAUGACGUCAGCGACCGAACGACGAACGACGAGUAAGUAAUACCACCGUCGGGAGGUACGGACCGGCCGACCGGUACGGAACGUACGAACGUAAGUAAGUUAGUACGGACCGGACGGACGUUACGCCGACGGACGACGACGAGGGAGGAGG
rnacentral:rRNA from 1 species